rnacentral:piRNA from 1 species
UCCUAUCAUACUUUCAAAAAC